rfam:Eutrema salsugineum unplaced genomic scaffold scaffold_5, whole genome shotgun sequence.
AACCCAUGGUGUGGGAAUUGGUUGGUGUAGCUCCUGAAUCUCUCAUAUGCUUCACCAAAACUCUCACUGAUGUGCUGAGUGAAGCUAGAGAUCUAGUUUCUCAGUUU